rnacentral:rRNA from 1 species
GACGAACGCUGGCGGCGUGCUUAACACAUGCAAGUCGAACGGAAAGGCCCUGCUUGCAGGGUCCUCGAGUGGCGAACGGGUGAGUAACACGUGGGUGAUCUGCCCUGCACUUCGGGAUAAGCCUGGGAAACUGGGUCUAAUACCGGAUAGGAGCCAUUUUUAGUGUGAUGGUUGGAAAGUUUUUUCGGUGUAGGAUGAGCUCGCGGCCUAUCAGCUUGUUGGUGGGGUAAUGGCCUACCAAGGCGGCGACGGGUAGCCGGCCUGAGAGGGUGGACGUCCACAUUGGGACUGAGAUACGGCCCAGACUCCUACGGGAGGCAGCAGUGGGGAAUAUUGCACAAUGGGCGCAAGCCUGAUGCAGCGACGCCGCGUGGGGGAUGACGGCCUUCGGGUUGUAAACUCCUUUCGCUAGGGACGAAGCUUUUUGUGACGGUACCUAGAGAAGAAGCACCGGCUAACUACGUG